CAGAGGGAACUGCCAAUCCAGGAGCCAUGUGGUGUCCUUGUAGUGUCCUUUGUUGUCUUUUUUUUAAUAAGUUGGCAUAUUUGGUGUCAGAGAUAUGGGAUGUGAAGUGACUUUCCACCUAUUUCUGGGGCUGCUGUUGGUUUGGAGCAAGACCCCUGUGUGAGCCUCCUGUGCUCUGUCAUCUCCCUGACAGCCUCAGGCCAGAUAAACUUUAUAAGUUUUUGAAAUUGAGAGAAUGACUGUAAAUGAAAAGUAAGCAAGAAAAGUAGGCUAUGUGUUUUCAGUGAAAGAAGAUAUGAAGAAUGAAGAUGGAAUUUUGUUGAAGGAAAAAGAAAGCAAUUUUGUUCUAAAAUAAAAUGAUUGUUCCAAAAUAAAAAAAAAAAGGACAAAACAAGACAUAAAAAAUUGUAGAAGGGAAUCUUUAAAAAGAAAUUUUAAUGUGUGGUCAAGCUGGCUAAGAUUAAAGUGAAUUUAUUGAAAAAUAAAUUUUAAUAUCAAAAGUACACUGGUGCAAAAUUAAAAUUCGGACAUUAAUUAAAAGUACAAAGAACA